GACGAACGCUGGCGGCGUGCUUAACACAUGCAAGUCGAACGGAAAGGCCCUGCUUUUGUGGGGUGCUCGAGUGGCGAACGGGUGAGUAACACGUGAGUAACCUGCCCUUGACUUUGGGAUAACUUCAGGAAACUGGGGCUAAUACCGGAUAGGAGCUCCUGCUGCAUGGUGGGGGUUGGAAAGUUUCGGCGGUUGGGGAUGGACUCGCGGCUUAUCAGCUUGUUGGUGGGGUAGUGGCUUACCAAGGCUUUGACGGGUAGCCGGCCUGAGAGGGUGACCGGCCACAUUGGGACUGAGAUACGGCCCAGACUCCUCCGGGAGGCAGCAGUGGGGAAUAUUGCACAAUGGGCGGAAGCCUUAUGCAGCACCGCCGCGUGCGGGAUGACGGCCUUCGGGUUGUAAACCGCUUUCGCCUGUGACGAAGCGUGAGUGACGGUAAUGGGUAAAGAAGCACCGGCUAGCUACGUG
rnacentral:rRNA from 1 species